UACGGAGGGUGCAAGCGUUAUCCGGAAUCACUGGGUUUAAAGGGUGCGUAGGCGGACUGAUAAGUCAGAGGUGAAAGACUUGCGCUAAACGGAAGGAUUGCCUUUGAUACUGUUAGUCUUGAAUGAGGUUGAGGUGUGCAGAAUGUGACAUGUAGCGGUGAAAUGCAUAGAUAUGUCAUAGAAUACCAAUUGCGAAGGCAGCACACUGGACCUAUAUUGACGCUGAGGCACGAAAGCGUGGGUAGCGAACAGG
rnacentral:rRNA from 1 species